rnacentral:ncRNA from 1 species
UAAUAUUUCUGGUAAGAUUAAUAAUCGGUCUAAAGACUGGAAAAUCAGAAUUAUUAGACCCGAAACCUAAUGAUCGAAUCAUCAUCAGAGAAAUAGCUCGAACCUGUUUAUGUAGCAAGAUAAUAGGAUGAAUGAUGAUUAGAAAUUAAAUAUCAAUCGAAUUAGGAGAUAGCUGG